rnacentral:rRNA from 1 species
GUGAGGAAUAUUGGUCAAUGGGCGAGAGCCUGAACCAGCCAAGUCGCGUGAAGGAUGAAGGUUUUAUGAAUUGUAAACUUCUUCUGCAGGGGAAUAAAGUACGGUACGUGUACCGUUUUGUAUGUACUCUGCGAAUAAGGAUCGGCUAACUCCGUGCCAGCAGCCGCGGUAAUACGGAGGAUCCAAGCGUUAUCCGGAUUUAUUGGGUUUAAAGGGUGCGCAGGCGGGUUGAUAAGUCAGCGGUGAAAGUUUGCAGCUUAACUGUAAAAUUGCCGUUGAAACUGUCGAUCUUGAGUGCAAAUGAGGUAAGCGGAAUGUGUUGUGUAGCGGUGAAAUGCUUAGAUAUAACACAGAACACCGAUUGCGAAGGCAGCUUACUGGGAUGCAACUGACGCUCAUGCACGAAAGCGUGGGGAUCAAACAGGAUUAGAUACCCGUGUAGUCC